GAGCGCCCCGCAAGGGGAGCGGCAGACGGGAGAGUAACACGUGGGAACGUACCCUUCAGUUCGGAACAACCCAGGGAAACUUGGGCUAAUACCGAAUACGUCCGUAAGGAGAAAGAUUUAUCGCUGAAGGAUCGGCCCGCGUCUGAUUAGCUAGUUGGUGAGGUAACGGCUCACCAAGGCUACGAUCAGUAGCUGGUCUGAGAGGAUGAUCAGCCUCACUGGGACUGAGACACGGCCCAGACUCCUACGGGAGGCAGCAGUGGGGAAUAUUGGACAAUGGGCGCAAGCCUGAUCCAGCCAUGCCGCGUGGAUGAUGAAGGCCCUAGGGUUGUAAAGUCCUUUCGGCGGGGAAGAUAAUGACGGUACCCGCAGAAGAAGCCCCGGCUAACUUCGUGCCAGCAGCCGCGGUAAUACGAAGGGGGCUAG
rnacentral:rRNA from 1 species